rnacentral:rRNA from 1 species
GGAGUCUGGCCCGUGUCUCAGUGCCAGUGUGGGGGACCUUCCUCUCAGAACCCCUGCGGAUCGUCGCCACGGUGGGCCGUUGCCCCGCCGUCAAGCUAAUCCGACGCGUCCCCAUCUUCAGUCCAGUUUCAUGGAAGCGCCAUGCGGAACUUCCAUCUAUCGGGUCUUAAUCCUCAUUUCCAAGGGCUAUCCCCGGGCUGAAGGCAGGUUGGACACGCGUGACUCACCCAUUCGCCGGUCGCCAUCGGGAAAAGCAAGCUUCUCCCAUGCUGCCCCUCGACUUGCAUGUGUUAGGCCUGUAGCUAGCGUUCAUC